rnacentral:rRNA from 1 species
UACGUAGGGGCAAGCGUUAUCCGGAUUUACUGGGUGUAAAGGGAGCGCAGACGGAACUGCAAGUCUGAUGUGAAAGCCGGGGGCUCAACCGCGGGACUGCAUUGGAAACUGUAGAUCUGGAGUGCCGGAGGGGCAAGCGGAAUUCCUGGUGUAGCGGUGAAAUGCGUAGAUAUCAGGAGGAACACCGGCGGCGAAGGCGGCUUGCUGGACGGCAACUGACGUUGAGGCUCGAAAGCGUGGGGAGCAAACAGGAUUAGAUACCCGUGUA